rnacentral:rRNA from 1 species
CAGUCGCCGCGGGAAUACGGAGGAUCCAAGCGUUAUCCGGAAUCAUUGGGUUUAAAGGGUCCGUAGGCGGUCUGGUAAGUCAGUGGUGAAAGCCCAUCGCUCAACGGUGGAACGGCCAUUGAUACUGCUGGACUUGAAUUAUUAGGAAGUAACUAGAAUAUGUAGUGUAGCGGUGAAAUGCUUAGAGAUUACAUGGAAUACCAAUUGCGAAGGCAGGUUACUACUAAUGGAUUGACGCUGAUGGACGAAAGCGUGGGUAGCGAACAGGAUUAGAUACCCGUGUAGUCCCUGUCUCUUAUAC